GAUACUGCCGUUUAUAUCUACUGCAAGAGAGACACUCACAACAAUCAUGUUCCUCUUCUUUGUUUUCAUAGCUGUUAAAAACAUUGCAGGUGCUGUUGACAGCAGCAUUACACCAGACCAACCCGUCAUAUCUUCAAGUGAAGGCAGCAGCACCACACUGACCUGCACAUAUGAUCAAUCAGCUUACUAUCUCUACUGGUAUCGACAAAACCCUCAAUCAGGACCAGAGUUUCUGCUGAGGAUUUUUAUAUCUUCAGAAACUGUCACUAAAGCUGAACAACUUGACCCAAGACUAUCCACCAGACUCCGUAAAAAUGAGAGGAAAGUAUAUCUGGAGAUCUUUCCUGCUUCAGUAUCAGACUCUUCACUGUACUACUGCGCCAUGGAGCCCACAGUAACAGGAAACACAACUACACUGUACAAAAACUCCUUCACAUCACAAAAGGGAGGUUUUUCUUUUUCUCAGGAGGGGGAGCUGUUUGGCUUUUUGAUUCAAAUAAAUUUUCCUUUUCCAAUUUCCAGUCUUUGAUGUUGGAAUAACUUUGAAUAUCUAUGCUGAUUGUGCUAGAAUAAUCUCCAUAGAAAAUGUUAAAUCACCAUUCUGGAUAUUAAGAAAUUUUAUUAUUUCAUAAAUUUAAUUCUCA